AUAGAAUUCUGGUCUAGAACCUCUAGGAGGCUUUCGUUUUGACCAAGUUGAGAUGUGAUCAGACCGUAUAAAGUCCACGACACCGGUGAACCCCAGUAAUACCACCUCCACCAGAUCGGUAUUUCCUGCAAAGUUCAGAAAAUCAAUCCAAAGAGAAUGCCAAUCACUGUCGUCAUGAAGAACCGAACAACAUUAUAUUGUGGAUGCCUCCAGUAAGACCAGUGUUGUUUCCAUAAACAAGCCAUGCAUUGUGUCCAAAAGGAUUGAGAGUACUUUGUAGGGAAGUAAAGGUCAUGGGACCCUGUUACUGGUGUACUGAGCACCUUAAUGAGCUCUUGGUUCCUCCUAUUCAACAUAACCUAUUAGUAAGACACUUGGUAGAAUGUGAAAAGUUGAUGCUUAGGGAUUCUAGAUUCAUACUUAUAAAGAUCAGAGUUGACAUAAAUAUUUGCAAAAUCAACACCAAGUUGAGCUUCAACUGUUGAAGAACUAACUUCGAGCAUCCAUGUGGCCGGAUUUUGACCUUCUUUGAUUUUGUUAACUCCUGGAAUAGACUGACAAGUUUGUUCGAGUUAUUAUAUUUUUUUUUUGUUGUAUGAACGGGAGCAUGAAAAGUAAGGAUGCACUCACUUCAAAAUAUUC